CCUAGAGUUGUAGGCUUUGCCUGCUAUCUCUUACCCAUGUCUUUUGAGUACCUUCGUUUCCUCGGCGGGUCCGCCCGCCGAUUGGACAAUUUAAACCAUUUGCAGUUGCAAUCAGCGUCUGAAAAAACUUAAUAGUUACAACUUUCAACAACGGAUCUCUUGGUUCUGGCAUCGAUGAAGAACGCAGCGAAAUGCGAUAAGUAGUGUGAAUUGCAGAAUUCAGUGAAUCAUCGAAUCUUUGAACGCACAUUGCGCCCCUUGGUAUUCCAUGGGGCAUGCCUGUUCGAGCGUCAUUUGUACCUUCAAGCUCUGCUUGGUGUUGGGUGUUUGUCUCGCCUCUGCGCGCAGACUCGCCUCAAAACAAUUGGCAGCCGGCGUAUUGAUUUCGGAGCGCAGUACAUCUUGCGCUUUGCACUCAUAACGACGACGUCCAAAAGUACAUUUUUACACUCUUGACCUCGGAUCAGGUAGGGAUACCCGCUGAACUUAAGCAUAUCAAUAAGCGGAGGAAUCGUAGCCUUGGUCAUUUAGAGGAAGUAAAAGUCGUAACAAGGUCUCCGUUGGUGAACCAGCGGAGGGAUCAUUACCGAGUUUACAACUCCCAAACCCCUGUGAACAUACCACUUGUUGCCUCGGCGGAUCAGCCCGCUCCCGGUAAAACGGGACGGCCCGCCAGAGGACCCCUAAACUCUGUUUCUAUAUGUAACUUCUGAGUAAAACCAUAAAUAAAUCA
rnacentral:misc_RNA from 1 species